rnacentral:tRNA from 1 species
GAGGGGAUGGCUCAGUGGUAGAGCGCAUUGUUAGCAUGCACGAGGUCCUGGGUUCAAUCCCCAGUACCUCCU